AAGGUUUUAAGUUAAUUUUAAACUAAUAUCCUUCAAAGCUAUAAAUAAAGAUUAAAUUUCUUUAAGCCUUA
rnacentral:tRNA from 1 species